rnacentral:rRNA from 1 species
GACGAACGCUGGCGGCGUGCUUAACACAUGCAAGUCGAACGGAAAGGCCCUGCUUUUGUGGGGUGCUCGAGUGGCGAACGGGUGAGUAACACGUGAGUAACCUGCCCUUGACUUUGGGAUAACUUCAGGAAACUGGGGCUAAUACCGGAUAGGAGCUCCUGCUGCAUGGUGGGGGUUGGAAAGUUUCGGCGGUUGGGGAUGGACUCGCGGCUUAUCAGCUUGUUGGUGGGGUAGUGGCUUACCAAGGCUUUGACGGGUAGCCGGCCUGAGAGGGUGACCGGCCAAAUUGGGACUGGGAUACGGCCCAGACUCCUAGGGGGGGCAGCAGGGGGGAAUAUUGAACAAUGGGGGGAAGCCUGAUGCAGCAACGCCGCGGGGGGGAUGACGGCCUUCGGGUUGUAAACCGUUUUGCCCUGUGACGAAGGGUGGGGGGCGGUAAUGGGUAAAGAAGCACCGGCUAACUACGU